AGAAAAACGCUAGCCCAUUCCCCUUCGCAUCCCUGUUGCCGCCGCCGCCCUCCCAAUUUCCUCUGCUCCUGCUGCUUCCCUCCACCUCUCUCUCCUCCACGCCGUCGGGGGCGCCCCUCAAGCCCCACCUCGUCUGUUCCCCACCCCGAGCUCCUUCUCCCCCACCCCGGUCGAGCAUCGGAUAGGCAGAGGGAGUGCCUUGGUCGAGGGACAACGAGGCUCGCCGGCUGGGUGACUCCGAGCGCUGGAGGCUAGACAGGCACAGGCAGGGGCGGAUCCAUGUGGGGGCAUGGGUGCCGUCGCGCCAUCGAAGGCCUCCACGGCGCCCUCUAUCAGACGACGGGCGUGGGACGCCGCGGGAGGCGUGCCGCGUUCGAGAGCCACUGUGGAUUAUCUUCGAGGUGUCAGGCGACAUUCGCCUCGAGACCUACCUCCGGGUCUCUUCCCAUAUGCAUUGACGGGCGCGGGUAGCGGGUCAGGCUCACCGGCAAGGCGCCGCUUGCCUCUGAACUUGUGAUGUCCGGCCAUUGCAUCCGGGAGGAGCUCCUCUUCAGGAAGAAUGCCGAGACGUACGCCACUGCUGCGACUGCCGUUCUCGUCCACGUUUUGACUACACUUGCAGGCAACUGCGAAGGCAAAAUCUACAUGUGAGAAGUGCAGAUGAGCCCUGCUGUGCUAAUUACCUGUAUUCUGAAUUGGCUGCUGAAGUACAUAAGUGAAGUCUAUUGGUGAAGGAGAUGUGAAGAAUGAUAUAGAGCAAGUAGAUAAAAACCGCAGUUGUUGGGCCCAAGUUUUACAUGAGUAUUCCUACACAUAGAUGAAUACCCUCCUGGUGCUAAUCAAGGAUUUGAUAUUCUGUUAGCUUUGGUUAACUUGCCUGAGUUAAUGCCUACAUGAGGAGCUGAACAAAAAUGCGAUGGGGGAUCCCAUCUUAGAAUAGUUUUCCCUUUUCUCCCAAUAGCUUUCAUUUUGCAGUAUAUUAGCUAAUUCUGCGUAGGAUGAUUACAUAUGCAACAUUUGUAAAGGAGUAGACUUGUUAAAAGUUUCAAUUAAUAUCAUAUGAUGCCUGCUGGAUUA